CCUACGGGAGGCAGCAGUGAGGAAUAUUGGUCAAUGGCCGUAAGCCUGAACCAGCCAAGUAGCGUGAGGGAUGACUGCCCUACGGGUUGUAAACUUCUUUUAUGAGGGGAUAAAGGUGUCCACGUGUGCAUGUUUGCAGGUACUUUAUGAAUAAGGACCGGCUAACUCCGUGCCAGCAGCCGCGGUAAUACGGAGGAUCCGGGCGUUAUCCGGAUUUAUUGGGUUUAAAGGGAGCGUAGGGGGGUCUUUAAGCGUGCUGUGAAAGUUUGUGGCUCAACCGUAAGAGUGCAGUGGAUACUGGCAGUCUUGAGUACACGUGAGGUAGGCGGAAUUCGUGGUGUAGCGGUGAAAUGCUUAGAUAUCACGAAGAACUCCGAUUGCGAAGGCAGCUUACCAAACCGUUACUGACAUUGAUGCUCGAAAGCGUGGGUAUCAAACAGGAUUAGAUACCCGUGUAGUC
rnacentral:rRNA from 1 species